GGCUCAGAACGAACGUUAGCGGCGCGCCUAAUACAUGCAAGUCGAGCGAGAAAGGGCUUCGGCCCCAGUAAAGCGGCGCACGGGUGAGUAACACGUAGGUUAUCUCCCCUCGAGUGGUGGAUAACCCUCCGAAAGGAGGGCUAAUACAGCAUGAGACCACGACCUUCUAGGUUGCGGUCAAAGCAGGCCUCUUCAUGAAAGCUUGCGCUCAAGGAUGAGCCUGCGGCCCAUCAGCUAGUUGGUAAGGUAAUGGCUUACCAAGGCUAAGACGGGUAGCUGGUCUGAGAGGAUGAGCAGCCACACUGGAACUGAAACACGGUCCAGACUCCUACGGGAGGCAGCAGUAGGGAAUCUUGCGCAAUGGACGAAAGUCUGACGCAGCGACGCCGCGUGAGCGAUGAAGGCCUUCGGGUUGUAAAGCUCUGUGGGGAGAGACGAAUAAGGCAUGGCUAACAUCCAUGUCGAUGACGGUAUCUCCUUAGCAAGCACCGGCUAACUCUGUGCCAGCAGCCGCGGUAAGACAGAGGGUGCGAACGUUGUUCGGAAUUACUGGGCGUAAAGCGCGUGUAGGCAGCAGCGCAAGUCGGGCGUGAAAUCCCACGGCUCAACCGUGGAAGUGCACUCGAAACUGCGCAGCUAGAGUCCUGGAGAGGAAGGUGGAAUGCUUGGUGUAGAGGUGAAAUUCGUAGAUAUCAAGCGGAACACCGGUGGCGAAGGCGGCCUUCUGGACAGUGACUGACGCUGAGACGCGAAAGCGUGGGGAGCAAACAGGAUUAGAUACCCUGGUAGUCCACGCCGUAAACGAUGAGUGCUAGGUGUCACGGGCUUUGACCCUCGUGGUGCCGAAGCUAACGCGUUAAGCACUCCGCCUGGGGAGUACGG
rnacentral:rRNA from 1 species